rnacentral:rRNA from 1 species
GUGGGGAAUCUUGCGCAAUGGGCGAAAGCCUGACGCAGCCAUGCCGCGUGAAUGAUGAAGGUCUUAGGAUUGUAAAAUUCUUUCACCGGGGACGAUAAUGACGGUACCCGGAGAAGAAGCUCCGGCUAACUUCGUGCCAGCAGCCGCGGUAAUACGAAGGGGGCUAGCGUUGCUCGGAAUUACUGGGCGUAAAGGGCGCGUAGGCGGACAGCUUAGUCAGAGGUGAAAGCCCAGGGCUCAACCUUGGAAUUGCCUUUGAUACUGGCUGUCUUGAGUUUGGGGGGGGUGAGGGGAACUCCGAGUGUAGAGGUGAAAUUGGUAGAUAGUCGGAAGAACACCAGUGGCGAAGGCGGCUCACUGGUCCAUUACUGACGCUGAGGUGCGAAAGCGUGGGGAGCAAACAGGAUUAGAAACCCCAGUAGUCC